rnacentral:snRNA from 1 species
AUACUUACCUGGCAGGGGAGAUACCAUGAUCAUGAAGGUGGUUUUCCCAGGACAAGGCUCAUCCAUUGCACUCCAGAUGUGCUGACCCCUGCAAUUUCCCCAAAUGUGGGAAACUCGACUGCAUAAUUUGUGGUAGUGGGGGACUGUGUUCGCGCACUAUCCCCUG